rnacentral:rRNA from 1 species
AUUGAACGCUGGCGGCGUGCUUAACACAUGCAAGUCGAGCGGCAGCGCGGGAGCAAUCCUGGCGGCGAGCGGCGAACGGGUGAGUAAUGCUUCGGAAUCUGCCCUUCGGUUCGGAAUAACAGUUAGAAAUGACUGCUAAUACCGGAUGAUGACGAAAGUCCAAAGAUUUAUCGCCGAAGGAUGAGCCCGGUAGGAUUAGGUAGUUGGUAGGGUAAUGGCCUACCAAGCCGACGAUCCUUAGCUGGUCUGAGAGGAUGAUCAGCCACACUGGGACUGAGACACGGCCCAGACUCCUACGGGAGGCAGCAGUGGGGAAUAUUGGACAAUGGGCGAAAGCCUGAUCCAGCAAUGCCGCGUGAGUGAUGAAGGCCUUAGGGUUGUAAAGCUCUUUUACCAGGGAUGAUAAUGACAGUACCUGGAGAAUAAGCUCGGCUAACUCCGUGCCAGCAGCCGCGGUAAUAGGUGUGUGUACU